UAUCAUUGAAACGUGAAAAUUCUUCCCUCUUUUUAUUUCAGAAGAAAAAUUACAUAUUCACCAGUUUCAUUAUUAAUUGUGAAUGACAAGAAGCAUAUCUAUUUCAGAAUGACCUGCUCGUACACAUAUCGCCUUACACUUGAUACUGGGACGAAAAUACCCCCAGGAACCCAACCACAAACACAUAUAGAAAAAAGACUCUCGGAUGCCUUUGAGAAACGCAUUAAAUCUGUGGAAAGCAAAAUAUAUCAGAGAUCAAAAUCU